GGGUUGUGAGGUUAAGCGACUAAGCGUACACGGUGGAUGCCCUGGCAGUCAGAGGCGAUGAAGGACGUGCUAAUCUGCGAUAAGCGUCGGUAAGGUGAUAUGAACCGUUAUAACCGGCGAUUUCCGAAUGGGGAAACCCAGUGUGAUUCGUCACACUAUCAUUAACUGAAUCCAUAGGUUAAUGAGGCGAACCGGGGGAACUGAAACAUCUAAGUACCCCGAGGAAAAGAAAUCAACCGAGAUUCCCCCAGUAGCGGCGAGCGAACGGGGAGCAGCCCAGAGCCUGAAUCAGUGUGUGUGUUAGUGGAAGCGUCUGGAAAGGCGCGCGAUACAGGGUGACAGCCCCGUACACAAAAAUGCACAUGCUGUGAGCUCGAUGAGUAGGGCGGGACACGUGGUAUCCUGUCUGAAUAUGGGGGGACCAUCCUCCAAGGCUAAAUACUCCUGACUGACCGAUAGUGAACCAGUACCGUGAGGGAAAGGCGAAAAGAACCCCGGCGAGGGGAGUGAAAAAGAACCUGAAACCGUGUACGUACAAGCAGUGGGAGCACAGAGCAAUCUGUGUGACUGCGUACCUUUUGUAUAAUGGGUCAGCGACUUAUAUUCUGUAGCAAGGUUAACCGAAUAGGGGAGCCGAAGGGAAACCGAGUCUUAACUGGGCGUUAAGUUGCAGGGUAUAGACCCGAAACCCGGUGAUCUAGCCAUGGGCAGGUUGAAGGUUGGGUAACACUAACUGGAGGACCGAACCGACUAAUGUUGAAAAAUUAGCGGAUGACUUGUGGCUGGGGGUGAAAGGCCAAUCAAACCGGGAGAUAGCUGGUUCUCCCCGAAAGCUAUUUAGGUAGCGCCUCGUGAAUUCAUCUCCGGGGGUAGAGCACUGUUUCGGCAAGGGGGUCAUCCCGACUUACCAACCCGAUGCAAACUGCGAAUACCGGAGAAUGUUAUCACGGGAGACACACGGCGGGUGCUAACGUCCGUCGUGAAGAGGGAAACAACCCAGACCGCCAGCUAAGGUCCCAAAGUCAUGGUUAAGUGGGAAACGAUGUGGGAAGGCCCAGACAGCCAGGAUGUUGGCUUAGAAGCAGCCAUCAUUUAAAGAAAGCGUAAUAGCUCACUGGUCGAGUCGGCCUGCGCGGAAGAUGUAACGGGGCUAAACCAUGCACCGAAGCUGCGGCAGCGACGCUGAUGCGUUGUUGGGUAGGGGAGCGUUCUGUAAGCCUGCGAAGGUGUGCUGUGAGGCAUGCUGGAGGUAUCAGAAGUGCGAAUGCUGACAUAAGUAACGAUAAAGCGGGUGAAAAGCCCGCUCGCCGGAAGACCAAGGGUUCCUGUCCAACGUUAAUCGGGGCAGGGUGAGUCGACCCCUAAGGCGAGGCCGAAAGGCGUAGUCGAUGGGAAACAGGUUAAUAUUCCUGUACUUGGUGUUACUGCGAAGGGGGGACGGAGAAGGCUAUGUUGGCCGGGCGACGGUUGUCCCGGUUUAAGCGUGUAGGCUGGUUUUCCAGGCAAAUCCGGAAAAUCAAGGCUGAGGCGUGAUGACGAGGCACUACGGUGCUGAAGCAACAAAUGCCCUGCUUCCAGGAAAAGCCUCUAAGCAUCAGGUAACAUCAAAUCGUACCCCAAACCGACACAGGUGGUCAGGUAGAGAAUACCAAGGCGCUUGAGAGAACUCGGGUGAAGGAACUAGGCAAAAUGGUGCCGUAACUUCGGGAGAAGGCACGCUGAUAUGUAGGUGAAGUCCCUCGCGGAUGGAGCUGAAAUCAGUCGAAGAUACCAGCUGGCUGCAACUGUUUAUUAAAAACACAGCACUGUGCAAACACGAAAGUGGACGUAUACGGUGUGACGCCUGCCCGGUGCCGGAAGGUUAAUUGAUGGGGUCAGCGCAAGCGAAGCUCUUGAUCGAAGCCCCGGUAAACGGCGGCCGUAACUAUAACGGUCCUAAGGUAGCGAAAUUCCUUGUCGGGUAAGUUCCGACCUGCACGAAUGGCGUAAUGAUGGCCAGGCUGUCUCCACCCGAGACUCAGUGAAAUUGAACUCGCUGUGAAGAUGCAGUGUACCCGCGGCAAGACGGAAAGACCCCGUGAACCUUUACUAUAGCUUGACACUGAACAUUGAGCCUUGAUGUGUAGGAUAGGUGGGAGGCUUUGAAGUGUGGACGCCAGUCUGCAUGGAGCCGACCUUGAAAUACCACCCUUUAAUGUUUGAUGUUCUAACGUUGACCCGUAAUCCGGGUUGCGGACAGUGUCUGGUGGGUAGUUUGACUGGGGCGGUCUCCUCCUAAAGAGUAACGGAGGAGCACGAAGGUUGGCUAAUCCUGGUCGGACAUCAGGAGGUUAGUGCAAUGGCAUAAGCCAGCUUGACUGCGAGCGUGACGGCGCGAGCAGGUGCGAAAGCAGGUCAUAGUGAUCCGGUGGUUCUGAAUGGAAGGGCCAUCGCUCAACGGAUAAAAGGUACUCCGGGGAUAACAGGCUGAUACCGCCCAAGAGUUCAUAUCGACGGCGGUGUUUGGCACCUCGAUGUCGGCUCAUCACAUCCUGGGGCUGAAGUAGGUCCCAAGGGUAUGGCUGUUCGCCAUUUAAAGUGGUACGCGAGCUGGGUUUAGAACGUCGUGAGACAGUUCGGUCCCUAUCUGCCGUGGGCGCUGGAGAACUGAGGGGGGCUGCUCCUAGUACGAGAGGACCGGAGUGGACGCAUCACUGGUGUUCGGGUUGUCAUGCCAAUGGCACUGCCCGGUAGCUAAAUGCGGAAGAGAUAAGUGCUGAAAGCAUCUAAGCACGAAACUUGCCCCGAGAUGAGUUCUCCCUGACUCCUUGAGAGUCCUGAAGGAACGUUGAAGACGACGACGUUGAUAGGCCGGGUGUGUAAGCGCAGCGAUGCGUUGAGCUAACCGGUACUAAUGAACCGUGAGGCUUAACCUUACAACGCCGAAG
rnacentral:rRNA from 1 species